rnacentral:rRNA from 1 species
UAAUUCUAGAGCUAAUAGAUGGUUUGUCCCAAAYUUUUAUCGGUUUGUUCAUUUAUUAGAUCACAACCGAGCGACUCCGGUCGCUUAUGUUGGUGACUCUUAGUAACUUUKGUAAUCGCAUGGACUUGUUCCGGCGAUACGUUUAUCAAGUUUCUGCCCUAUCAACUUUUGAUGGUUGUGYAUUUGACAACCAUGGUGGUGACGGGUAACGGAGAAUUAGGGUUUGACUCCGGAGAGGGAGCCUGAUAAACGGCUACCACAUCAUAGGAAGG